rnacentral:rRNA from 1 species
GAUGAACGCUGGCGGCGUGCCUAAUACAUGCAAGUCGAGCGAACAGAUGAGGAGCUUGCUCCUCUGACGUUAGCGGCGGACGGGUGAGUAACACGUGGAUAACCUACCUAUAAGACUGGGAUAACUUCGGGAAACCGGAGCUAAUACCGGAUAAUAUAUUUAACCGCAUGGUUCAAUAGUGAAAGACGGUUUUGCUGUCACUUAUAGAUGGAUCCGCGCCGCAUUAGCUAGUUGGUAAGGUAACGGCUUACCAAGGCAACGAUGCGUAGCCGACAUGAGAGGGUGAUCGGCCACACUGGAACUGAGACACGGUACAGACUCCUACGGGAGGCAGCAGUAGGGAAUAUUCCGCAAUGGGCGAAAGCCUGACGGAGCAACGCCGCGUGAGUGAUGAAGGUCUUCGGAUCGUAAAACUCUGUUAUUAGGGAAGAACAAAUGUGUAAGUAACUAUGCACGUCUUGACGGUACCUAAUCAGAAAGCCACGGCUAACUACGUG